rnacentral:miRNA from 1 species
CAAUGCUCAGCUGAGACUACAUG